UACGUAGGUGGCAAGCGUUGUCCGGAUUUACUGGGCGUAAAGAGCGCGCAGGCGGUCGUUCAAGUCGCGUGUGAAAGCCCCCGGCUCAACUGGGGAGGGUCACGCGAUACUGAUCGACUCGAAGGCAGGAGAGGGAAGUGGAAUUCCCGGUGUAGCGGUGGAAUGCGUAGAGAUCGGGAAGAACACCCGUGGCGAAGGCGACGUGCUGGGCUGUUUCUGACGCUGAGAUGCGAAAGUGUGGGGAGCAAACGGG
rnacentral:rRNA from 1 species